CCCUGCUAACAGUGCGCUUACAGGGUUUGCACGAGCUGAAGAGGAAUAAGAGAAGUAGAAAGCAAUGUUAGGAAGCAGGCUGAGAGCUACAGGCAGGUUUCUCAGGCACUGCGACAGCACAGCUGUCAUCAAUCGGCUUCGAUGGCGGGUGUGAACGAGUUAGAACUUGCACCUGUCUCAAAGCAGUUUGAGGAGGAAUGGAUGAAACCUGCGGCUCGUUAACAGGAUGGUCAGCUGGGGGCUUUAUAAGCCCCAUUCCCAGUUGGUCAGUCAAGACCAAGGAGGAAAGCUGGGUUCUUUUGACUCUUGCUCUGUGCUCCAGCACUGCGUAGCAAAGAAAUACAGUUGCUCCAGGAUGAAGCUUUGCCUUGCAAGCCGGCUGUAUGGAGUUGCUCAGGACGGGAUUGCUCGGGGGGCCCUCAGCCCGUGGAAUUAAAAAAGAGGGGCAUCAAUACUAUGGAUAUUUCAAGUCUCCAGAGAGCUCUGCUUCGAAGGAAAGAGACAGCAGAGCGCCUGCAGCAGAACCAAAGCUUCAGCUCACUGAAUUCUCUGCUUUUUCCUCCCACUUCUACAAAACCACCCUUCAGACCACCAUUGCUCCAGCCAUGGAAGCAAUGUAGUGAAGGCCCAUGAGUCCACGUGGGAGCUCAGGCAGGGAGGAGGAGGAGGAGACCCAAGUGGCUGCUUUCUCAGUGCUGAGGAUGAUGUGCCCUGCUGCCAUGUGCCAACACCUGCACUGGGCUCCUCCGUCUCCCAUGGGGGUCUCAGCACUGUGAAUCACCACAGCCAUCCCUGCACCACAUCCUCCAGACAGAGCCACGCUGCAGCUCAGGGCAUUCCAUGAAGAAAUUGCUUUCUCAUGACUAAAUGUCAGCAUAGAGAAUGAAUGAAGAAAGACCACAAAUUUACUUAAAAUCUGCAACCGACUCCUCAGCGCAGAGGAAAGACUGGCAUCAGUGUCAUGUCCUGAAGCAGUGUCAUGUCCUGAAGCAGAUGCAGGAAGAACAAUUACUUGUGUUCACAGUAUCCUUAAGGUUGGAAAAGACCACCAGCAUCAUCUAACCCAACCGUGUAGGGGCAGUCUGCUCAGACACAUCUCUUGUCUAAGAGCUUCCAACUUACUGCAGUUUCCUUAUCCUCGUGCCUAAGGGACAGCACCAGGGACACCAAGGCACACAGUCCUUGUAGGCAUGGCUGGCUGCCAGCCACCCUUGUUCUCUGGUUAAUAGAGGAGCACAUGGAACCGUUGUAGGUAACAUGACCACUGCACAAUCCCGUCAUAGCCAGAAAUGUUUCAGCUGCAUCACUGCUAUAUAUUUUCUUUCCUGCAGCAUCUUAUUUGCCCUUGGUUGUAAGAGGACUGAGCUGAUGUUAGCAUUGUUUUCAAUUCUUCAGCAAAAAUAUUGGUGUUUUUCUUAAGAAAAAGGCAUGAGUGGACGAUGUAGUUUUGACUGAUCUGAUAAUAAGUAUAGGAGAAAGCACUCGGUGUGGUUGCAUUGCCCUUUUGUCCUGGGCUGCAGAUGGUCAGUGAAGCUGUGCUCACCCCUCCCAGGUGCUAACACUCAGCCUCUGCUGGGCAGAUGAAGCACAGCUGGGUAAUGAGCAGGUCCUGAUGGGCAGUGUUUGUUGGCCUGUGAACCUACCUUGCCUAUUUAGGGACCUGACCCAAACCUGGGAGCUCAGAAACGUGGUGCUCUCAGCUGUAGCCAUUCCUCUUCUUUAAAUUCAGUAGGCGUGCCUUUGCCACCAGCAGCAUCCUUGGAUUCCAGGCACCAUUCACAUCCUGCUGUUUGGGAAAUGGUCAUUGCCACCAGUCUGGGAAGAAUGUAUUUCUGCCCUUCUGAUAACCCACCAGAGGUCCCCUGAGGGCUGGGAUUCACGUUGCUUUCUGCCCUGAGGCUGUAAGGUAAGAGAUGCAGUGGUGUUCACUGUAAGUGAGAACCCUUUGCUUUGAAUGGGGAGAUUAACAACAAAACUCUCUGAACUUCCUUCUCCUUCGGUUAUGUUGCAGAAAAAAUUAACUUUGUUUAAGUUGGGAACUGGAGCAGUUCUUUAUGGCCACUGAUUCCUUUUUUCCUCCUCCUGGUCUCAGUAACAAGGGCCAGAGUUGUGGGCCAUGCUGGACACAGCUAUUUUCUUCCUGAUGCUAAUUGCAGCCCUUCCUGGGGAGGAGCAAGGCAGCUGAUUUUUGGAUAAACUGAAGGCAAAAAGAAUUUCUGCCUGGGCAAAGCUGAGCGGAGAACAAAGGAGUGGGAAUAGUCAGGAGUGCUGGCUGUGGGGCUCUGCAGGGUGGGGAAGGACAUGCAUAGGCCUAGGGGGAAACCAAGGAGAAACAUAAGGAGGCAGAAUGGAUUAUUUGCUAACAGACAUAGCCAGGGUGCUGCUAAAUACCCAGACCCUCACUGUUUCACCCAGGGCAGGGGUGGCAGUGGGGCUGGGCGUGCUGUAGGGUAGUUUGGGAUGGUCCCAGGUUGGUGCUGGGUGUGCUGAGAGUCUCCUGAUGCUCUGUGAGGCUGGGGAGAAGCAAGAAGGAGCACGAGCAAAUGUGUUUCCACUUAGCUGCUCUAAGGAGCCAAAUGAUGUAACUGCUCGAAGCCCCGCACUAUGUUGGCAGGAGGAGUCCAGUGACAGCUCCAACUGUAAGUUCCUGAGCUAAUGAGCAGAAAAGUUGAAUAAAACUUAAAAAAAAAAAAAAAAAAGCCUAUUUAUUUGGCUUAACAUAGCGAUCCUUCCCAGGACUGUUCCUUCAGCUGUUCCUCUGCUCAGAUCACAAAUCCAGACCCAAAAGAUGCUGGCUCCUCUCCUAUGGGUCUAAUGGGGCAGAGCCAAGGGGUCAGUGUCCGUUGGGAGCAAUGCUUCUGUGCAGCGUUGGGUGCUUUGCUUGGUGCUGAACCACAUCCCUGCUCCAGGAGAAGCGCUGUGCUAUCCUUUCCUCCAGCCCUUAUGGAGUUAACCACAACUAUUAUUAUUAAGGGUGGGUUUUUUUCUCCCUCUCUUUCUCUCUCUCUCUCUGUGUUACCAGCAAAGAAUGUUUUACUACAGCUCUCCACACAGCCACCAGCCUCCAAAUGGACCACGUUACAGUCCUGCUGCCCCCAGAAGGCACUGGGGUGCCCCAAGGCAUUGCAUCAUGCAAGGAGGAGCACCACAGCUGCCUGGGGAGCCCUCUGCAAGAGGGUCUAGACAGAGGCUGUGACCGGAGCACGGUGCUGAUGUGUGUGCUUGGGAAUGAAAUUUGGCUGGAGAGGUGUUGCUGCCUUGAGGUCAACGUGGAGGUGAAGGGCUUCAUGAUUUCCUGCAAACUAAAGAAACAGCAGUUUGGUGAUUUCCUUGGCUCUGUGUUGCUUGCCACUGGACCAGCUGGCACUGGAUGAAAGAGAGUGGCUGCACAUCUUCCUGCUCCUGGUGGUUGGGACUGUUAAAAGUCAGCCCUGUGCCACGGGUUGCCCCAGCUCUUCAGGUGAUAACCUGCUUCAGCAGCAGCUGUGCACAGAAUUUAUUGGGCUGCAGCUGGGAAUCUUUCUCUUUGAUCCAUCUCUGCUAUUAAACAGCUUGUGAUAACGCCACUGAGCUCACAUCGAGGAGGGGAAGCCGAGCAACCUCAAUAUUGGAGCUGAGCAGCAGUGGGGUGCCCAUCUUAAAGCUGCAUCACCUCACUGUCUUCAAAAGCAAAGGAGCUCCUUUUAUAGCAGCGAGCUGCUCUCCAGGAAUGAUUAAAGUCUCGUAAACGAGCACCUUCCUCAUCACAGAGCUGUCUGCUGACGGGGUGCCAAGUACAACAAGCCCAAUCCAAAGCAUCAUCCCCUCCAUGGGGCUAAUUGUUGUUGCCUUGUCUCUUGAACAAGAAGAGUGGUAAGGGAAAGCAGAGCCUGGAGACACACGCACAUCCCUGUACAGAAAUAACCCCUGAAAUAGAACUGACAAGCAAUUGAGGAGUCGGCCUGUGGGCUGCAGACAAAGCACAGAGCAAAGGAGAUAACCGGCAGUGAGCACUGGGAAAUAAUGCCCUAAAUUCCCUCUGAGCCCAUUCAUCACCGUGGCUUCGGCGAUCAUCUCAGCAACAAAUUCCCCUAUCAUCCAGCUGGAAUUCGAUGUUAAUGACCUGUCUGUUAUUUCAGGGGGAGAUGGACUGGAACCGGUGGGUAAUUGGUAGGAAAAAUCGCCGGGUACAGCAAAGAGCUGAUGCUACUGGAGUCGUUACACCACGAGAGAGGGAGAUUAGGGAGCUCUGCUUACCACAAGGGGCUUAUUCAUCCUGAAUAAAUGCAUUAGCUGCCCAGAGCUGUCCUCUUAUGCCCUUGUUCCUGUCUGGUGGCAUCUCCCCACCACAGCUUUUCCCAGCAAACAGCAGAGAUGCAGCCCAGAAGAAGCUGCUAGAAUCAUAGAACACCCAGAGCUGGAAGGGACCCAUAAGGAUCAUCGAGUCCAACUGCUGCUGUUGAGACAAUCACAGUAAGGAAUAACCUGCUCUCUCCAAGCUCACACUGAUGUAUACGUUUAUUCUGGAGUUCUCUCAGGAAAGACCAUAAUUACUCUAAUUUCUUAAUUACCGAAAUUAUUCAGAAUGACUCUGCAAACACCUCUGCCCUGUAACGUUUUGCACGAGCAGCCUCCCAGAUUGCAGCAGCGUUAGGCUUUGGGUUCCUUCCUCUGCUGGAAGGAUUUGCUGCGUUCAUUGCCAUUUCUCCUUGCCAUCACGUUAGCGGGGCAGCCUGCAGCCCUCACCAAAAAUAGGAUAACUGGAGAGCAUCAGGGGAGAGCUAGAAGCAAGUCCAGAGGUAAAGCCUUGGCUCUGUUGCAAAGGAUAGCUUUGCUGGGACUUGAUGUCUGUGCUUUUUCUCAACAGUUUCCCAUUCCCAUCUUGCUAACGGGACCAGCACCAGUCAUGUUUCGGUGAGCACACCUGCUUUAUAAAUUAGCUCCCAGGAGUAUUUGCAAAAACAGAGCUGAACUGCAUGGCCACGGGACUGGGUUUGCUGCAGAAAUACCAGCACGUAUUCAUAAUAAAGCAGCUGCACGCUUUGCCCAGCUCUGUCUGUAACUUCUCGUCAUGUCCUGUACCUUUCUGGGCAGAAAGAAUGGGUGGUAGUGGUGGGAAAAUUGCAAAAUCCUCCUUGGCUAGAUGAAGCAAUUAUUUUUGAUGCAGAUGGGGCUGCUUUUAACCCUACGUAUUCCAAACAUCUCUGUAUAACCCUAUGGGUUCUCCACCGUUGUAGGCAGUGAUGGAGAAGGAAAAAAAUGGGUGAGUAGGAUUUAACACCCAGCCAGAACUGAACUGUACAACACCCGACUGCAGAAGGGUUGGUUCUAUGCCCUUUAUGCACAGUAGGCACCGCUGCUGCCUGUCCCCAGCAUGGCACGAGUUGGGGACCAUGAGUGGUGAGGACCUCUUGUGGUGCCUCUCCCUGAGCUGCAGGCACAAAGGUUGGAUUUCUUCCCUAUGGCUGCGUGAAGAGCUGCUGACUGCUCCACCAGGAACUGAGGCAAUAAUCCCAGCUUGUUGUUCUCCUUCUCAUGGGAGACUUCUUGUGCAAAAGAAGCAUCAGUAGAAUGAAUCAAACGCUGCGGUAGUGGCCCCAUUCCCACGUGCUCUGUGUGCUCUUCCUCUCGACUCACCGGUGAGGAGGCGGUAUCAUGGGGAGGCUGUUCUGAAAAUGCUUUUAAUUGAUUUAAUUCAUAGCUGUGUUGGAGCAGGAAGGUGUUCCUUCCUUGUGCCCGGGAAUGGCAGAAUGUCCUCCAGCUGCCCCCAGAGAUGCAGCGCUGUGCCUGGGUAGCACUGUCUUGCUGCUGGCCAUCCAUGCCAAGCCUGGGAAUGAAAGCUUUGGCAACAGCCUGGACCAAGCUCUGGUAUCUUCCUUAUCGAGAAGCAUGCUGAUUACUGCAGACAAAUUGGAGAUGAACUUGCCUCUAGAGCCCAACGUGUUUGUGAAAUGAAUUGCAGUUACAUGGGGAUUUAUUAUUUCUGCAAAAGAGGCUUUCUUAUCAUGAUUUUUCCUUCCAUCUUGGACUCAUCGCUACCAGACCAGGAACCUUCAAACAGAUGUGUUUGGAGCCUUGAUGUGGGCUCACAGUGGCUGGGAAUCUUCUUGUUAUUCCUACGAAAAACAGACUCCAGCUGGAGGGGAAGAAGAGCCUCCAGCAUUAGAGAUGACCUAAACAGCACAUGUUGCAAAUGAGAUGGGAAGUGGAGAACUGCUUGAAACAUCUCUGGCCCUUUCAGCAGAACUGUUUUCCCUUUGCCUUCUCAAGGCUGAGCUGCAGACAUUGCAAGAAUGACCCCAGCAGACUGCUGCUGUUUCUGUUUUGCAUGUUCACAAGGCAGCUUCUGAAAUAAGUUUGCACACUGUUGAUCUUGCACUGGACAGCCUCACAUCAGGUGGCAGGGAAGCCCUUGCUCAUGCUGCCCUGACCCUGCUGCUCUUACUUCCCAUGCUGAUGCAUCAGUGCAUGAUGUGGCUGGAAAUGAGGUGGUGCAGGGUGGUCUCCUUGGGUUUUGCAGCUGAAAUAGGUUACUGAGCUCCUGAAGGCAUCCACCAGGAUUGCUAUGGCCUGGAACAGCCCUAGGAAAGAUGCUCUGCUUCAAGCUGGGGUUGUGCUGGUGGUGGGAGCUGGGGAUUUCAAAUCUUCCUACAGUUGGAUAUUUCAACCAAUGGCAUAAAUAAUGGAAAGCCUUCCAAAAGAAUGCCAUCCUAAGGGCUGUUCCCCUAAGAAGAAAUGCAGGUCAGGAAAUACAUUGGCCAUAUGAGUUUGUGAGUCCUUUCAAUUGUGAACAGUGCACUAAUCAAGGUUUGGCUAAUGGGUAUGCUGGGAUAUGCACACAGAUAUGCUCUUCUUUUGAGUCUUUCUCUUUACCUUUCAACCCCUGAAAUCAUCCAAGCUGCUAACACUCUGAGGAGGAUGAUGCAGCAAAAAUAAUAGGUUUAGCAAGAAGCAGAAAAAUGAGAUUAGCAUCUGUUUUUCUGGGAAAAAUAUCAACUUUUCCUGCUUAGAAAAUGAAUGGGUUGGAAACCAGCUUGUAAAACUCGAAGCCUGACUCAGGCACUGAUUUGUCACGGGGCUGUCACCUGCAGUCACUGUUAGAGAGGAGCCCUCAAUGUUCUGUCCAAAAGGAACGAUUGCUGUCUGAGUUAUUGAUGGAUUCGUAUGUGGGGAAGAGCAAAUCCUGGUCAAGCUGGAGGACUUUUGCACACAUUCAGCAGCGAGUGAGUAAAGUUAGUGGAAUACAGAACCAUCCCUGCUCGCUGCAGAGCAGCCCCCAAGGAGCACAGUGAUAAAUGAAUUGCAGAAAGCUUGGAGCUUCAACUCGGCCAGGGGAAAUAACGCUGUGUCUAUCUGAUCUCUGCAAACCUGGCUUUCCACUUAUGUGCCUGAUGAUAAAUCAGCAGUAAAUGUGCUUAGGUUGGCACGCCAAGUUUUUCCCUGGAUGCUGUUCUGUAGGCACGCACUUUCUUCACCACAAGAGUCCAGAUCUGGUGCAGAAACCACAAGCGUGGUACAGGCAGGCGGCAUCCCAUCCCAACACCGUUGCAUUGCCCUUGGCCUGCCAGCCAGAGCCAGCCCAGCACAGCCAUGAGAGAAGGAUGGCAGGCGCUCCAGGAGGACCUCUUCAAACUGCAGAGAAGGUCUGAUUUUGAAACUGGGGCAAAAGUUGAAAUAGGAUUUAAUUUUAUCUCAAUUGAUUCAUCUGUCCCUAAUUAGAAAUAGCUUCCUAAUGCAUGACGUAAGGAUACGAGGAGGGUUGUUUUUUUUUAAUGAAUGACUCUUGGCUGAGAUGAAAAUAUUGCUGUUCUCAGAUAGUUCUUUUUAUAUGCCAAUAGAGAUUUGUGCAGUCUAAGAUGAAAAAUACAUGAGAUCCUGCAGUCACACACGCUGCAGACUAAACUCUUACAGAUUAUAGAUCCUGUCUCAUUCCCAUUUUGUACAUCCCAUUUUAGUAUCUGCAUUUGCUUUUACUGAGAGAGGAGCCUCAGUCUCCCAGAAUUGCAGUGUGUGAUGCUGUGCAGGGAUGGAGCAAAAACUGAUCCUUACACCCAAGGCAGUUUCUCAUGGGAACAGUGUGAAAUUGCCCAUUUUUCUAUUUUCAGGGUGAAAGUUGUGCCUGCUUUGCCUUAUUUUCUCUUUCUGUCCUCUUCCCCGUUUCUUCUCUCCUUCCUGCCCGUGGGUCAAGGGCUGGAAGUAAAGCUGAAGUUGCGUGGCAGGAUGCAGGAGGCGGAGCAGUGCAUUGAGUUGCAUGACGCCAGGCAGCAGGAGGUGUGGGCUGCCCACUACCUGUUCCUGGACAGCAUGGCCAGGAGAUGGAGAUAAUCCCUCUCACCUCAUAGUGCACUGCUCUUCCACAUCAUUCCCCUGCUCCUACUCAUACCUCCUCAUGCCAUCCAACAUAUUUCGUCCCAAUCCUUUGCCUUCACACCCUUGAAACCCUUCCAGGCUGCUAUAGUGUCCCUUUCUCCAACUCACCUCUCCAAACCAAGCCAUACCCCCAGGCUCCAGUCCCAUCCCAUAAAUCAGUCUCUCCAAGGCCCUGACCGUAUUCUGAGAUUUCCAGGGGCUGUGCGGCUCCUCCUGGGCUCACAUCUCUUCUCCCUGCAACAAUAAAAGGCUGGAGACACGCAGCGGGGUGAGGCUCGGGUUUCUGGGCUCGUUUUAUAACUGGUGCUGGGGAUGCUUUGCGCGGAGCCCUCCAUGCGGUGAGGAAGCGGGGCAGGACAUGUCGAGCAGAUGGCAAUUCUGGACUGCAGAUGAGGGCUGAGUUAUGGCGCUCGCAGCACAUCUUUGAUACACGUCCAGCUUUUAUCAGAUGGUUCCACUCAGUGUUUGGCACAGCUGAUGUGAAGGGAAGGCCGAGGAGCAGACCUGCAGUGGGAGCAGCCCCCCAUCCCUAGGGCUGUCCCCCUCUGUGCGCUGAGCUGGGACUUCCCCUGCUUCUCCCACUCCUCCGGUACUGACACAGCUUUAUCCUGCAUACAAAACUGCUGAUAUGCUUAAAGCUCCCCUAGGCUGCACAGGCUCUUCUCCCUUUGCCACAUCAGCGCGUGUUGCAAGCAGCUGGGAGGAUGGAGAGCAUGUGAGCAUUUCUUGGAGCUAGAAGGCUCCGCUCCUCGGGUUUUGGCUUCAGAUGACCCACUCUUCUAAUACACUCUGCACUUAAUUCACUCUUGCCAGUGCAAAUGCUCUUAUUUAUGAGGUUGGUAAUCACUUUCUAUCAACACGCUCUGGAAGUCUGCUUCACCCACAGAACAUUCCUUCAAUAAAUCCUCCCCAUGAAUAUUCCCAGCCCAAGCUGAGCCCAACGCCUACUUGUGGUGUAGGAGAUGCUUUCAAAGGACUCUCACUGAGUUGGGUUGGCUUAAAGCACACCUCAAGCCUUGAUGCAAGUGGACCCAGGUAAGCUCACAAGAAGGAAACCCAAGCCUUUCCCAAACUCCUUGGAAACACUGAGUUUGGUGUCUUCUUCCUCCUUAACUUAAAAGCCAAGAAAUGUCUGUGCAGGAGAAUCAAUCACAUCACAAAGGAACCUUCUGGAUCCCAUGAAUGCCCAUUCUUUAAGCCUUAGAAUUUUACCCAUCCCCCUUUCAGGAGGGAAUGCAGAUAUGUUUUCCAUUGGAAAUAUCCCCAGGGUCUCAUGCCUCAUGCUGAGCAGCAAUCCCUGUGUCAAUUAAAAUGUGUUAUUCUGUUGAGCUCACCCUUGGGUCGAGCCAUAGGGCAGCAGAGGUCCAUGCCAGGACAGCGCCAAUGAACACAGAAUGGAGCAUCUUUAGCUCAGAGCUUUCUGCUCUGUAUCUUUCAGCUCCUUCAUGGACCAACCAGAGCCCAUAUUGAUGCCAUUUACUCAGCUGUCAAGUGGGUUUUUUAUCCUAAUGCUCCACGGUGGGGAAAUAGGAACCUGCAAUGAACUUGCUUCAAAUCGAGACAUAUUUAACUCGAAUAAACCAGCGGCCGGGCUGAAUAAACACUGCAGGCACUUCAGAAAGGAUGUUAAGUUGACAUAAGAUCUGUUGGGUGAGUUCAAGAAAUGGGAGAUUUGAUGCUGAAGUCAUAAAUCUGCUGGGUUAAAAGGGGGAUACUGCUGAGCUCUGCAUCUCAGUGAGAGACAAAGGCAGGAUGUUUGCUGUCCCAGUCUGUGGGCAGCAGGUUUCUGUCCUAUGGCAGCUGCUGAGGAGUGUGGGCUUCAUCUCCACCGCUCUCUUCAAAGCCGAGCAGGUUUUGCUGACAAAAGCUGGCACACGGACAUCAUGAAGAGCAAUGAAGAGCAGGGCUGCUGUGCCAGUGUUGCUGGUUCCAGCUGGGACAGCCCCAUGAGUUGCUGGGAGCUGAGGCAGCACUGAGCCCCUUGGCUCUCCGGAGGCACUGUGGCAGGGAAACAGCUCUCUGUGUCCUUUUCCAAAGCACAAGGAUAUGGGUGCAGCUGCAGAAACACGUAUUGCCCUCAGACUGUACUCUGCAUGGAGCACCCGCUGGUACCCCAUCUCUGAAGGCACACUUGGGAGCCUGAAACUGCAUUUGGCCCCAAUCUGAGUAGAGCAAAAUCGUGUGCAGUACUGAAGUCCCAUUUAAUUUCUUAGAGUUGUUGCAAUGCUCCUAGGGUUGGCACAACUCAGGCUGAGUGGAAAGGAAGGUAUGGAUGUGGCUACGGUUUCUGCCUCCAGCUCCAGCUCUCAGGUCUUGAGGAAGAAGGUUAUGCUUCCUCUGUCCAGUGUGAUGCAUCUGGGGCUGCUCUGAGCAGAACACGCGCCACGUCCCUGUGUGUUCGCUGCCGGAGGGACUCAGUGGGUCAAGGGGUGAGAGCUUACCCCAGCCUGAGCUGAAGGAUCGCAGAUGUUUCAUAUUUCUGCUCCAAAGAGAGGGAGAGAGAAGCUGCAGAGAAGACUGCAAUAUUUUUUUUCAAUACAUUCCAUAUGUUUCCUCCAUAAGUCAUGAUUAAAAAGUGGUGCUGGUCCAAAUAGAAAUAAGCCUGCAGGCUUUUCUGCUGCUUUUGGAGGAAGAAGCAGACUCAGUCUGAUUCACCCCUAAGGGGAGAAGGGCUCUGAGCUGACUUGAGAACACGUUUCCAUUGGACUUGUCAUCCACGCUGUCCCUGCUCCCAGCAUUGCUGUUGUCUUGGCAAGAAGCACUUCUCAGCCCUGGCUCCAGCUUCCUGGUGGAAUACACCAAAUACUUGUCCCCAGGUGCCUGACAUCAAUGCAGGGUGCACAACCCAUUGUUACGGGACCAGAACACACAGGGACUGCAAAUGACUUAUUUCCUUGCUACCAUUUCCACUCUGCUCGCUGAGGUCCAAACACUGCAGAAAAAAAUGGCAGGUUCGGAGGGAGGAGGAAAACCCAGCACCCACGAGGGGAAGGAAUUUGCUCUCUCCAAAAGGCCACGCUUGGUAUAAUUAUGCCAGCCAAACGUGCACAGAAGCCUUCAGCAAUUCCUGUGGUAAUCGUUUCAUAUGUGUGGGAUUUUUUAGGCUGGAGCAUAAUUACGGCUAAUUGCUGUUUGAUUUUGUUCCUGUUUAUAUAGCCAGUAAGGGAGUCGUUGAAAUGUCUUUACUGAAAGACUUUCUCCCUUCCUUUUCCUUCUCUUUUUCUUAAAUCAUCCUGGAAAAGAAAAGAAGGGAUCGUGUUGCAACACGGUGAGUUGUGAAUGGCCAUCAGCUGUCCAACAUCUCACAGCAAAGAGCCACGUUCAGGACUGAUGUUUUCCCAGCACUGGGAACUGAUGGUGCGCUGAUUUGCAGAACUAACGAGGACUUGCAAAGAUCUUGGCUGUUGGUUAAUGAAACCCUCCUGGGCAGGAGGCUGAGGCUGAAUUUAUCUGGGGAGAUGGGAGGAUCUGGACUGCUUCUUGCAGUCUGUUCACUAGAGCCCACGGAGAGAGAAGUGGAGCUGGUGGGGCUCAGCACAGCUCCACCACCAGGAGCUCCUCUUGGCAUGGCCAUUGCCUUUGUCAUGCCUGGUUAUCUUUUCUCAGCCCUGGUUCUUAACAUAGUUGUCCCACAGCAUGACUCAAUGGGAAUUAGGCAUCAAGUUUGCUCUGAAUGUUGGGAGUUUCCAUGUUCAGAUGGCCUGCAGUGAAGCCAGAAGCCAGAUGAUCCCUACAUCGACCCAUCCAAACAGACCUAUAUGUCUUUGAGGCUUUACUUUUCUUUUGGAAAAUUGGCUGUAUGUUUGGGUGCUUGCGCUCACGUUGCCUUUAAACGCAUCCUACCUCACUUGAAUGCAAUGUUCCUCCAGAUGGAGGAGAGUCAGCAGCUCACGGAGGCUGUGAUAUUCUCAUUCCUGAGCACUGCAUCCUUCAGAGGGGACCGAGAACACACGAAAACUCUCUUGGCUGUGGUCAGCCCUCAGCAGCUGCCCCAGCCCCGUGCCAGACACACGCUGGAUUAGAGGGUGCAGGGUGCUGUUGCUAUGGGACAAGGUGGAGGGAGCAGGCAGGUGCCACUCGUAGCCCUCUGCUAUGGAGAAUGCAGAUCUUGUUUGCUCUGCUUUUUUUUUCUUCUUCUUUUUUUCCAUUUUAAUGCUCUUUCUAUCUGGCUUCUGCCUCUGCUCCAGGAAGCCAAAUUAGCUCAUGGUCUGAGGCUCCAGCACUGAAUAUAAGCAGAAGCAAGCUGACAUCAGCUUGAAAUAGAAGCAGUAAUAGAGCUGUUUACUGUCAUGUUUCACUUUGACGAUUCAAAGGAGCAGGAAACAAUCCCAGGGCAUUGGGCACUCACACAGCCACCAAAAGCGCAUCCCUGAACCCAACUGAAUCCAUCACAAAGGCUCGGGAGCAGCAAAGUGGGGGGAGUUUUAGUGCAAGCGUGCCCAGAACACUUUAAAAUCCAUCAGAUUCUUUGCCCAAACACCAUCUCUGUGUGCUCUGAACCAACAGAGCCAGGAAUCUGGUAAACCAAGCACUUUGGCUGUGCCUGGGCUGUAGCCACACAAGUGUAAGACAUCACCUACAUCCUUCACAUGGUGUUAAUUAACAGCUAUGUAUGGGGCUGUGCUUCUCAGCCUGACCGAAAGCUGGAAGCCCAAGUCUCGAAUUCUCCCGGCCAGGAUGCAGCAUUUGCUCAGGGAAUACCAAAGAAAGAUGGAAAAGCAGCCCCACAGCUGCCUGCUUGUGCCUUGGGCAGAGCCCUUGUGGCUGCUGGUUGUCUCUGGAAGCUGCUGCCUCCCCCUGGCACUGCACUCUGCAUGGUAUGGAGUGUAUUUUUAACUAGGAAGAUAAUGAGACAGUGGCAGCUCCUCCCUGCAAUUCUGUGUUUGGAAAAUUUCAGCCACGGUGCUUGCAGGUUAAAUAGCAGGCAGAAGGAGAAUGAGCUCUUGAUUAAAAUAUGUCUAGACAGCCUUCUGUGUUUUUAAGUCCUAAUUUAGAGGACCGAGGUAGGAAGGGAUUUACAUCAUUUCCAACAUCUGACCCGUUGUUUCUGAUGGUGGUAAGACAGCUGGCACAGCCAGCCCUCACUUUUACCUGCAGUCUCAGGACAUUCAGUGACUGCAGCCACGUGUGUGGCUAUGGAAGAACUCUUCUUUUGUGACAACAGGAAAUACUCAUUUCUAAUGGUCGCAGAGCAAGUGAGACCCAUAUGAACGAUAUUAAGUUUGGCGUUCCAAGCCAUCUCAUGACUUUGAAGGCUUAGUCUAGGCCUUGGGCACGCAUAUACUCCACUGCAAUUAUCACUGGCACUUGGCUUGAUUUGGAAAUCAAGCUCCGUAAGAGUCCUGUCACUAAAAGCUGUCUCUGAGCCUGCAGUUUCCAACCACCACCAACACAGCUCUGACAAUCAGCUCCAGUGCUUUCAGCAUUUGCACCACUCAGCCACGCAUUUGGCUCCAAGGGCUCAAAGCGACGCGAGCUCACUGUCAGACGCAGUGUGAUGGAAGGGCUCUACAGCUGUUGCCCUCACAUUUGAUAGCCAGUGUUGGCUUUGUUGGGAAAAGAGGAACUGAAACUCUUCAGACUCUACCAAAAACAAGAAGCGACAUUUGGGUGUAUUUUGAAGAAAUACAGAGAAAAGAGGUAUUGGACUGUUUGGGCACCAAAUUGCUUCUGCCAAAAUGUAUAUGUCCUGUGGCAGCAGAUUGCAGUGCCACGAGGCAGGGAGCUGCUGGGCAGGGCUGUGUGCUGGACCACGGGCAGCAGGUUUCCACAGGGCUGCUUGGAAGGGCUCUGGGGAAUCAAAGCAAGGAGAAGGAAGGGAGACACCAACCGAGUAAAGACUGACUCAGAAUGAACCCCCAGAAGGGCUCUAAGUGCAACACUGCAGGACCUUCUUGACCCUUUGCAAUUGUUGCCGUGACCAGAUGCAUUGAAAAGGUGACAGGGUAAGAAAAGUGAAGACUUUGGAUUUGAAAUGAUUUGGAUUCCGUUAACUUUAGUGCCUCCUUCUCCAGAAGGACUCCAUCCUCUGAGUGUGUAAGCAGGAUCAGGGUGAGGAUGGCACUGUGCAUCUGGAAUAGCACUUCACAGUGGUUCUGUGGGGGCGGUGGGACUUGGAAACUUAAUGAGAAACACAAGCUUGCAGAAAGGGGGUGGGAAACCGGGUUAGAGAUACAGCAGGGCGGUUUGCAUUCAGAUCGCGGGAACUGAGUAAGUUUCUGAGCUAGAGAUGUUGUCAGCUCCUUAAUGACUUCUCCAUCCAUCGCCCAUUACGUUGGGUCCGAUGCACUUAAGAUGUGAGUCACUGCUCCAACCCUCACAGGGUGACAGGACCCGGGGGAGCACAUGAGAGGUGCUCAUUCUGUGGGUGGCUGCUCUGAGCUCUGUCUGUGUCAUCACAACGGGAUCAUUCUAAACCAACAGAACCCCAGUGUGUUGCUACGGGCAGGGCAGCCCAGGCCAUUAGGCAGGGCUUUAUUUUUGGAUCUGGGUCUUGCUUUCAAGCUUUCGGCAUCCUACACUUCUUUCAGCUGGGGAUGGUCCCAUUUCCAAGAGGGGAGCUCAUUUGAGAGGCAGACAAUCUUCCCAUAGCCAUUGCCACUUGGCUGUCUGCAUACUUCAGCCCAUCACUCUCCCUGCUCCCAGUGAGCAUCUCUGUCAUCUGAAAGCUCAGAAAUCAAACUUUGAACUGAAUAAAAGCCCCUCCCCCUCCAACAUUGACUGAAAUACUCUUUAAAAACAAAUCCUUAUAUAUUCUAAACUCAAAAACAUCUGGGUUUCCAAGCCCCAGGAAAUUACAGCUCCCAUUCUGGAAAUAAAAUACAUGUUUGUCCAUAGAUUGCAUUAAUUAAACCCCAUAAUAUGGAAAGAAGCCGGUAAAAUUCUUUCCUGAUGGCUGGCAGAUUUGCAUAGCAAUUUCUCAUAUUGCUCAUUGCAAUUAUUAUUCUUAUUUAAAGGGUGACGUUUUCCUCCAUGUCAGUGCAGGAUAGGAAGAUCAAGAUCUCUCUCAGUGACCAAGGGAGAAGAACUUUUGGUCCACGUGCGUGUCUUGCAGUGGGGGAUCCCAAAUGAAGCCCCAAGUCCUGCAGCUCCUGGAAAUGCCACAUCAGAAACAUUCCUGCUACUGGGAAAAACACUUUGAAGACCGGGAAAACUGCAGACUUCAGUUGUUCUUUGUGGCUUCUGCAAUUUUUUCCUGGUGAGCCUCGUGAGACAUUCCGUGGAAGGUGGCAAGCAUUGGAUGAGUAACAUUUCCCCAUAGUGCAUUAAUCAACGCCUGCUUGGCCAAGCAGCAGUCAGUGUGAGAGGAGGACGAGUUGGGCUCCCAGGCACACGGGGAACUGCUGAGACUCAGAUUGCACACAGCAGCACCACAGCGACAAAGCUGCCUUGGUUCAGCACCCAGGGGCACUGCCACAAUCCCAGCUCAGAGAUGGGAUGGGAGGUAACAAGGUAUGGUGUGCAACUCGUUGCUGGUUCCAUGAGAGCUUCUCCAUGGCGCUCACACAGGGACAUAAAAUGUGAGGGGUGGCCUCUGUCCUCCUGGCACCGUGGUUCCCUGAGUGCAGCUCCCUUCCUUGAGCAGGAUCAGAGCAGGGCUUCGGAGGAUCCUACGCAGAGAGCAUCCUCCAAGGACGUGUUUUCAAAGGCUCUCCAUCUCCCAAAGGCUGAAUAAUCUCAAGAAAGGGCCCAGGAAGAAGUGAAAUCCUCUCCAGAACGGUCAUUUGCAAGAGUGUGUUUCCAUAACCUUGCAUUGUUACAGCAUCACAAGGAUUUGUCUCCUCUUCUGGCUCCAGCACACAUGUUCCUGGCUCCCAUGGAGGCACUGUGGACAGCCCAUGCCAUACAACGUGCCAGAAACAUGACCUCCCCAUGAACUUUGGGCCAUAUUUUCAAGUCUGCGCCCAGCUCCUUGCAGGCAGGGCUGUCUGGCCAGUGCAUUCUGGCCCUUUUGCAUGGAAAAUGAGCUGUGUCAGCCUUCGUGGCCCACUGGCUUGCCAGCUGCGUCCCUAACAGCACUUUGCAGCCUCCUCCCUCCGUGCUCAACAUGUUGCCUUCACCUGGCACAUGGGACAGCAACGAGGGGACUGUGAGCUUGUCCUCGGUGGCUGGGGCCCAGCUGGCCACCCCCAUCUCCCCACUGCAGCCACCGCACGCUCCUCGAUGCAGCAGAACUCAAUGUACAGCCCUUUUAUUUUUCCUCCUUGGUUUUCCUGUUUCCAGAACAGUUGAAUAUUUUACUUGCAUCGUGCCCCAGUUCCCCAGUUUCCAGCAGGCAGAACAGGGCGAUCUGUACCCACCUCUUGCAGCAGCUGGUGCUUGUUCCCCUGGCAAAACUUCACUUUGGAGCUGAACCCAACAAUGCUGCUGACUCCAACUGAUUCUUUCUCCCCCAGCCUAAGGCACUUUAUGAUGAUAUUAAUAACCAGACACUGAGGUUCAGCACUAAGGAUUUCUUAAGCUUGCUGCUGGGGCUGUGAUUGAGCUUUGUAGCCAUCUCUGCUUCAUCCCAUGAUCCAUCAGGGUUGGUGGGGACACCCAGACCUCUUUUGGGAAGUCCCUCCACAGCUCCUCUCUCCCAUAGCACCCAUGGGGUCAGGGGCAGACUGGGUGCUCCCAGACCUCUUUCCUGUUCUGCCCUUAAUACACCAAAGGGAGAUCUCUUGUUCGAUGGUUCUCUAUUAACCCUAUUCAUGAGUCUUUUAAUUAGUGUUGCCUUCUGCUAAGUAAUCGCUUCAGCAUUAGCUCCUCUGGGGCAAUGCAGAGCUGCAACAGGGCACUGCAGGAGUUGCAUGCUGCUGUUCUGCCUUCUGGACCUGCUCCUGCUGGCAACUAUGCCAUUCCUUUUGCACAGACCGCACAGUGCCAGAGCAGCCCACUAAAACUUGCAAAGAAAAGCAGAAAGAAGCAUCUGAAACCCCACCAGGAGCUGCGGCAGGUAGAGUUCUACCCUUACAUCUGGGAAACCUCCAGCUCAGCUCAAUCCUGCUGAUGCACUGCUAAGGGGAGCUUUGUAGUGGCCCUAUUCAAAGCACUCAGCUCUGGGGGCAUGUUUCCCCCAGCACCCAGGAGCAAUGUUUCCUUUGUCAAUUCAGGGUCCCCACCAAUCUGCAUCACCCCAUGCCUGGAGGCAGAGCUGCCAUGGCUGCCUUUUAUCCCCUGCAUCCUCCGGCAGAGCUCACAAAGUGGUACUUUGUACCAGAGCAAGAAACAAGAGACGUGAGCUGUAAUACAGGAGAGAGAGAAAAAAAAACCCUCAUCUCACCCCUUGUGUUUUUCCUGGAAAUGUCACUGCCCUUAAUGCAUCAAAUAAUUAGAAUCACUUCUCCCCUUUUGUUUGCCUUGGCCCUCACUGCUCGCAUUGAGUGGGCCAACAUAAACCUGUGCGCACCACAGGAAUUUUGGGCACAGCCCAUUCUGCAGUGCUGGGUGCAGGGGGAGAAGUGGCUGCAGGAGCUUUGGUUCUGCUCCAUAUGUCUCUGCUGCUGUGGGCACUGCUGGGCACGGAGCUCCCAUAGAGAGGACCUCACUGCAACGCUAGCGCUCAACCAAGUGCUGGUCCCUAUGGAAAUCCACUGUCCUGGAGAGAAGCAGCAGCAGCUGAUGCCCAUUUAAUGCCAAAAUUGCAGAUUUGUGUUUGACCUGAGUGGUGGGUGUGAGCGUGAUGCUGGCAGGACAGAUGGGUGGAUAGCUCUCUGAAGUCCCAGUGGGAUGUUACGCUUGUUGCUCUGUAGUUGUAGCCUUCUCCUCUGGGUGCUGGGGAGUGCUCCGAGGUGACGUGGGAGAACAUAUCCCUUGUGAAUGCUGGAAAGCUGUGCUGGGUGAGGUGGCAUUGCACCACUAAUCCACGCACAGAGGAGCCCAGCACCCCCUCAGCACCCCUUACAGACACAGAUGGACACAGCCAGCAUCACAGCCCAGCUGGCUGCCUGCCCCCAGUACCGCUCCCAUGGGCUGCAUGUAUGUCAAUGGGUUAUUAAAGAAACGGAUGGGGGAUUAGCUGUGCUGUAGGUAGAGACCCCAUUCAGAUUUGCUAAGUUUCAGCAAGUAUGUUUUCAAUAAUUGGCUGGUAUUUGUAAGAAAUGAAUAAAACCUAGGCUACUAAAGCUGGUCCUUCUCUUAUUAUAAGGCAUUUAUUGCAUGCUUAGAAGCAUAUGUCUUCAAUAUCUGAAGCAAAGGAAAGUAAUAUAUAAGGAUCCCUUCUUAAACACAAAUAUAUGCAGCCAUAAUCACAAUUAUUAGCCACCAUGAAAUAGCUAACAAACUGAAGAAGCCCCCUCAGCAGCAGCUUUACAACUGGGGGUGCAUAAGAAAUAAAGACAAAGGAGAGAAUUGCCCUCUUAGCUGUGCGAGACUCCACAAGGCAGAGGAAGGAUCAGCUCUGCUGAGGAGUGUUGGCAUCUCGGAGAAGGUUCACGGAUGAAGCCAAUGGAGAAGGGUGUGCAGGAGCGGGGCAGGGAAUUGGGAAGCAGCGCUGCUGCUGGUGGUUGUAUCCUUCUGAAGAAAGAACACUGGAAAACUAAAGCUACCUGUCACUGCUGCUGUUAUCACAGAGGUAUUUGGGAGAGGGUGAGCGAAUGUUUCUGCAGGACUGCGUGCUGAUUUAUUGGUACGGAGGGAGGUGCAGCGGGGAAACCACUGUGCGGAUCGUUGGCGAGGAGGGGCACGUGGUUCUCCAAAGAUUUUUGUCUGAAAACGCAAUCAGCUGAAGUCAGCGCCGCGCCGAGGGUCUGAGCAGAGCUCAGUGCUGCUCAAGGAGGCACUUUCAUGUAAGAGGGAAGAAAUGGGCCCUGGCUCUGUGUAUAUCCCUGUUGGUCUUCUGAACACUUCGCGUUGCGUCUUCCUCCUCACUGCACCGCCCUGAAGCACAUACAGAAAAUGAUUGCUGAAAACGGGGUGUCCGCGAGUCACAAUGAGUGCAAUUAAACCAUGGAACGGAUUCCCCAGGGAUCUCACGCAUCCUUGGCUGCUUGGAGGAGCCUCAGGGCGGGCUGCAGCAGCUCCUUCCCUUUGGUGGAGCAGCGCUGUUCCUCCUGGGAUUUGCUCCAAAUGGACAGCUCUGCUCUGCUCCAGCUGCUCGGUGGGUUUCUCUCCAGCACGUUGCUGGUUUGCACAUCGUUUCAAGCCUGCAGCUGUUAUCGGGCUGUUGGUUUGAGCGUUGUUCACUUCCAAUCCCUGCCUCAUUGCAGGGGGAGACCAUCCCUGGAGAUCCUCCCCUCUCCCAUCUCCAGGGCACCGAUCCUCAGCCACUCUGAGCGCAAUGCAGACACCACACAGCUCAGCAGGUUUCAGUGCCUCUGCCACCAACUGCGACUCAAAUCCAAAGCGAUUUGGCUUUGUUUUGUUUCUAAGUUGCUGCUCGAGCUUUCUUGGCUCACAGGCAGAUUUUCUCUUCCAAGGUUUCAGUGGUGGAGGGCUGUUUCUCUAAUCCCCAAUAGUUUGAGAUUAUCUCCAGCCAACAAUUAAUCAGAAUCAGAAUUUUGCACUGCUUGCCUGUGCUGCUGCAUUGAGUGCAUGUAAAACCCUCUUUCCUCUGAAGAAAAGCAUGUUCUACUUUCCUAUGUUGCCUCCGGUCUCUUUAGCUGUCAGGGCACUCGGCAUCACACCAGGAUGCUGAAUAGGCCAAGGGAUGCCUUAAACAUACCACUCAAACAGGCAGAAAGCGGAUUCAGGAAGGCUCAACACGAGCUGAAAGCUCACUGUUUAGGAAGCAUCUCUGCUGGGGUGAGGGUUGGCUCUUAUGGGUUUGUGUUGUGGACUCAGCACUUGGGCAGCUUUGUUUUGGUGCAUGGAAUGCUCAGAGGCGUUCUCUGAGCGUGUGUUUGGGUAAUAGCCAAAAAUGAACCCAGUUAGCUAAUGGAAAUGCAUCCUUCCUCCUGUGCUGGGACUGCGUUGCACUGAGUGCGUUGGAAACAGCACCAGAAGUGAUGUCUGACUGCUGCAGAUCCCAAACCCUCAGUCAGGCACUGCUCUGUGGAUGAGCAAGAUGGGCACAGCUGGAUCUGCUCCUCAAGGAUCCGCUGCAGGUGUGUGACUGGGGAAUUUUUCCCAACCACUCAACCUUCUGACAGGGCUUCCAUCAGCUGGAGCUGCCUCUCCCUUCCAGCAUCUCUUCAGGCUGAAAAGAAAUCAUAUUUCCUGAAGCAACACCAAACAGGGAAGUGGUGCUGCUUUGUCACGUCCAAUUUCAAGUAGCUCUUCUCCUUAAGCUGCUCACAAACAAGCGAGGAGGAUGUAACACACAGCUUCUUUCAGACACGAUUCUCUCCUGCUGAGCCCUGAUCUCUUGCUGUCUGCAGCUCUGUGCUCUAUAGAUGGCACACGAUGCCAGCUCUGCCUGGCAGCCACAAGCUGAUGGGAUUUGUAUUUGUCCCAUCACCCCAUGAGCUGUCACAGGGGUGGAUCCCACUCCCUCCUGGCACUUGCUGUCUGCUGAGGACUCCCGUGUUAUCACUGCUGUCAACUUCCAAGCUGCGUUUUAUAUGGGAAGGAAAGCUGCCAGGCUGCUCUGCGAGCCAGUAGGUAUUCUUGGAGACAAAACAUUCAGUCUGGACCCGGCGCUGGUGGUUAAGCUUUAUUUGGUUCUCAUUUCCUUGAGAACUGGAUGCUCCUCUCCAUCUGUCAGCUCACAAAGCUGGGUCAGGCCGGCUGCAUCCUCUGCUCCAAAGCAAGGACCCCAAAAGGGAUCAGCUCCCCUUGACAUCAACGGGUUCUGGAUUGGGCCCCGGGCAAAGGCUCUCAAGAACGUGCUGCAGUUUGGGAAGCGGAGAAGCUGCGGUUUAACAUGGGAAUAGUUGGAGCAAGAAAAAUGUUAUUACCAAAACUCAGCUUAAACCAAGAGUACCGCGAGGUCAAACGCUGCAGCCAGUCAGAAACACAGUGUUCUUGAGGAUUGUUAUACUGGAGUUACAGGAGACAAGGUGCUUUCGUGGUAAAUGGAAAACGCAGCUCGGCAGAGAGGAGGAAGCUGCAGCAAAUGCACUGCUGAUGUUAAGCUGCUGCCUCCCUGGGGCCAAGCAGCAGUGCAUGACUGGGAACGUCCCAUCCCUGGGUCAGCAGCUGGACACCUCCAAGGCAGGGACCCCCCAGCCCCUCUUAAAGCUCUCUUGAAUGAUCCCAUGCUGCAGAGAGUACUACUCUGUACAAACAUGUAUACAAAUGUAAGUACAUCCAUAUACUUGGCUGAGAUGUAUAAACUCUGCAAUGGACUUUGGAUGUAAGUGUGGUCUUUGCUGCUGGCUCACCGGAGAGGGUUCUCAGUUAAUCACGGCUCAGUGGUUGGGCUGGGUGAUCUUAUCCAAUCUUAAUGAAUCUAUGAUCCUAUGGAAAUAAAUUGUACCCAGCUUGUCCCUGCUGCUGUCCCCUCCAAAGGUGCCAGGUUGCUCCGUCACAGGCAACACCGGGAUGAGUCCCUGGGAUCGUACCAGCACUCGUAUUCGGUGUCAAGGAAGACAAUAUGGAAACUGUGCCAAAAGAGGCCUGAUCUAUCACAAAUGCCAUCUCAUCAUUUUCAGCUGCUUUGAACUUCCCAGUGACUUUUAUUUGUGCCUCCCUUUUCUUUCUGUGCCAGAACAGACUCACAUCUUGAAAAGCUCUUCUCCCCACGUAGCUGUUAUCCUGCAGCCCUUCCCAAAUCCCCCCAGCUGUGCCUCCUCUGCUCUGCCUUGCUGGGAUAAGCAAGGGAGGUUCUUUGUCUGCAGGUGAGUUGUCUGCUGGUCUUUUUUAGGGGAAAUUGGAGGGCUCCUUGCAGACACAGAGGGCCACAAAUGGGUGGACAGGGAGCUGCUAAACAAAGAGCUGGUGUGAAUUAGAAGAGAGAUAAAGAGCAAUGGACUUGAUAAGGAGUUGGACUUGAUGAUCCUUGUGUGUUCUUCCAACUUGGGAUAUUGUAUGAUUUUAUGAAAAGAACCAUUGGCCCACAUUGCAGCCAAACAGCCCAGGCAUGGAGCAGAAAACAGCUUGACAAAGGUCAUGCAAGGAGCAUCAGAACAAGUUUCAGAUGUAGUCCUUUAACCAGAUGGCUGCUGUCUUGUGAGCAGUGCUGCAGCACGAGCCGUCAUUGCUCCUGGGCCACGUUCUGUUCCCAAAGAAAGUGUAGGGUGGGUGGACAACCCUGUGGGUGACCUGGAGCUCUCCAGGUGGGAGGGCUGAGCUCCAGCAGCAUGGAUCCAAUAUGGAGCUCCUUUGGACGUGGGGACAGUGAGGAAGGCAGAGCAGACCAGAGGUGCCAGGGUGGCUCUGAAACCUUCUCCGAGGACAUGCUCCACCUUCACAUCUCACCUACGUCAGAAUGACCUCAUGUUCAUAACAGCAGGAAUUUCCAGCUGGCGCAGCCAAGCCCUUUGCUGCUAAAUUAAAAUUUCUACCUCUCUCCAGAGAGUUAUUUCCCCUCCAUUCUUUUUAUUAAUAAAUUAAUAAUAAAGCAGUUUGCUGGAG
rnacentral:lncRNA from 1 species